CGGGUGAGUAAUGCUUGGGAACUUGCCUUUAGGUGGGGGAUAACAGUUGGAAACGACUGCUAAUACCGCAUAAUGUCUACGGACCAAAGGGGGCUUCGGCUCUCGCCUUGAGAGAGGCCCAAGUGAGAUUAGCUAGUUGGUGGGGUAAAGGCCUACCAAGGCAACAAUCUCUAGCUGUUCUGAGAGGAAGAUCAGCCACACUGGGACUGAGACACGGCCCAGACUCCUACGGGAGGCAGCAGUGGGGAAUAUUGCACAAUGGGGGGAACCCUGAUGCAGCCAUGCCGCGUGUGUGAAGAAGGCCUUCGGGUUGUAAAGCACUUUCAGUUGUGAGGAAAGGUUGGUAGUUAAUACCUGCCAGCUGUGACGUUAACAACAGAAGAAGCACCGGCUAACUCCGUGCCAGCAGCCGCGGUAAUACGGAGGGUGCGAGCGUUAAUCGGAAUUACUGGGCGUAAAGCGCACGCAGGCGGCUUGUUAAGCUAGAGGUGAAAGCCCCGCGCUCAACGUGGGAACUGCCUUUAGAACUGGCAGGCUAGAGUCUUGGAGA
rnacentral:rRNA from 1 species